rnacentral:rRNA from 1 species
CAGCAGCCGCGGUAAUGCGUAGGUGGCAAGCGUUGUCCGGAAUUAUUGGGCGUAAAGGGCUCGCAGGCGGUUUCUUAAGUCUGAUGUGAAAGCCCCCGGCUCAACCGGGGAGGGUCAUUGGAAACUGGGAAACUUGAGUGCAGAAGAGGAGAGUGGAAUUCCACGUGUAGCGGUGAAAUGCGUAGAGAUGUGGAGGAACACCAGUGGCGAAGGCGACUCUCUGGUCUGUAACUGACGCUGAGGAGCGAAAGCGUGGGGAGCGAACAGGAUUAGAUACCCGCGUAGUCCCUGUCUCUUAUAC